GCACCGAGCACCCAAACUUGCACAACUUUGUAAUAAACAAUAUCUGGUCUCCGUGUGUGAGAUCGGCUCACCGCACACCGGGUACCGAAACCCACUUUUGGGACAACAGUUUUGGCAGCCCACAGGGGACAUCACUGAGAAUCCUUGCCUGGAUCGACUUGCUGCAAUCAGUGAGGAGAAGCGGACCGCUCGGACUCCAGCACACACCGAACUGAUUUUUGGUGACUCCGACGGCUCCUCUCCCUGCUGGGCGUGUUGGAUUUAAAGGAUGCCGCCUUUUGCAUUCUGCUGGAAGCUGAGAGUCAGAAGUUAUUUGCUUUUGAAUAGGAGAGUCCAUCCACAGGACAAAAAGUGCAACUCUGCUGGACAGUACUACCACAAGGAUUCAAGAACAGUCCUACUUUGUUUGGUAACGUACUGGCCAAAGAAUUAGAACACUGGCAAGCCACAUUGUUGCCUAUUACCGGUGAUGAGAAUUUGGUACAUGAUUGCAUUCAAUCUCUUGAACAAGUGUAUUCCCGUCAACCAGAUUUGAAGGACACCCCUCUGGAAAAUCCAGACUGGAUCUUAUUUAUGGAUGGUAGUAGUUUUGUUUCAAAAGGAGAACAAAAGGCUGGAUAUGCAGUAGUGACUCUGAAUGAAGAAAUUGAGUCUCGGCCUCUUCUUAUACACACUUCUGCACAAAAAGCUGAAUUGAUUGCUCUUACCGGAGCCUUAGAGUUAUCACAAGGGAAACGAGUGAAUAUUUAUACCGAUUCUAAAUAUGCUUUUGGAGUUGUGCAGGCUCAUGGAGCCAUAUGGAAAGAACAGGGACUUUUAUCAUCCCAAGGAACUCCUGUGAAGCAUGGGGCAGAAAUCUUAAAGUUAUUAACAGCAGUCACUAUGCCGAAAGAAGUUGCUGUAAUACAUUGCAAAGCUCAUCAAUUUGGAUAUACAGACAUAAUUAGGGAUAGUUGAAAAGCUGAUGAAACUGCGAAAAGAGUAUCCUUUAAUCAAGUAAUGGGCACGCUGGUGCCGGAAACAAUGACAAAAUUGGAAGUUCCAAAACGUAAUGAAAAAGGAAAUGAGUUAGCCAAACUUUUAGAUUGUGAAAAAACUAAGGAUGGAUGGUGGGUUACCCCGAAUGGACAAUGCAUAGUUAAUGCUCCAGUUAUGAGAGAAUUAUUGGAAAGGACUCAUAAAAGUACACAUAUGGGAGCUGACACACUGGUUUUCAGCAUUAAAAGAUAUACAAUAGGACCCAGAGUGCAACAGUAUGCUGAAGGACUUGUUAAACAAUGCCAAGUUUGUUGCAAGAAUAAUCCAAAAAUAGAAAAGAAGCCUUCACCUGGAGAGGUAAAGUGAGGGUAUCUCCCUGGCAAAUACUGGCAAAUUGAUUUUUCUGAGUUACCAAAAAGUAGAGGAUAUAAGUACCUUUUGGUAUUAGUGGAUACCUUUUCAGGGUGGCCCGAAGCCUUCCUGUGUUGCACCAACAAGGCUAGAGAAGUAAUAAAGAUAUUAUUGAGGGAAAUAAUUCUUAGGUUUGGAAUCCCAGAAGAAAUCUCCUCAGAUAAAAGCCCCCAUUUUAUUGCUGAAGUAGUGAAAGAAGUUUCUAAAUUCUUACAAAUAAAAUGGGAAUUACAUACCCCAUGGAGGCCACAAUCCAGUGGAAAAGUAGAAAGAAUGAAUCAGACCCUAAAAAGACAAAUUGCAAAAUUGUGCCAAGAAACUUAUUCUAAAUGGGUAGAUAUGCUGCCUAUAGCCUUAAUGCGAAUCUGAAUUACACCUAGAACUAAAGAGAAAGUAAGUCCCUUUGAAAUAUUGUAUGGGAAACCAUAUUCCGUAAACCUAACAGGAGACCAUGGGCAGAUGCAUGUAACAGGAGAUCAGAUGCUCUCUGAAUAUCUUUUGUCAAUGGCAAAGACUCUUUCCCCCCUAUACAGGUAUAAACGAACAAGAACUCCAGUGCCAUUAACACGCCAGUACACUUCUUCCAACCUGGGGAUCAAGUGUAUCUCUGGACAUGGAGAGAUGAACCAUUAAAGGAGGAGUGGCAAGGACCGUAUAUUGUGGUGUUGGUAACAAAUACUGCCGUCAAAUUAAAGGGAAUAGAUUCCUGGAUUCACUACACUUGAGUAAAAACGGCUCUGGGAGAAAAGUAGACUUCUGAACAGAUACAGCCACUGAAACUGAGGAUCUCCAAAGCCUCAUGAAUUGUACCUGGUCCGUUUAUUCGGUAUUUGUUAAAAUAUGUAUCAAAUUGUGGGAAUCAUUCUGUUUCAAUUUUGUACCAUAGGCUUACAAGCUCAGUGUACCAUGAUCUACCUAUUCCCGCAAAUGUGUCAUGGCAAAAUUUGUGGAUUAAUACUAAUAUUGACCCUAGAGAGAUAUAGGAAUUGAACGACUUGAUUGUUUGAUUCAGAAGAAUUUCCACUGAUCUAGAUGAAAUUUGGAAACAGACUAAGAUAUUACAUGAAAUUCAAAAAGAUGACACAUCCUGGGGAUUUGAAGAAGCAUGGAAAUGGUUAACUUCCUGGUUUCCUGACCUGAGCUUUUGGAUUAAAAGGUUAAUAGCUAUAAUAAUAAUUAUACUGCUUGCCUUUAUAUGCAUAUAUGUUGUGUUAAAAUGUACUUUAAAUGUUGUUCAACUGUAAGAAAAGUAGUAUAUGAAAAGAUUCUAUGAGACUUAAAUAGGAAGUACAAGUUUCUUUGUAUAAAUCUCAAAGGGGGGAAUUGUUAUCUAAGCAAGCAGAGGGUUAAAAAUCUACGAAGAAUUUAGUGAAGUUAGAUGUUGCACAUACUAACAAAACCAAAUAUGUACACAAUGUCUAGGGUCAGGAUGACCGUCCUUGAGGUUGUCAGAAGCGAUGAAUUAGAGAACUACUAAUCAGGAGUUGGCUAUCCUUGAAGGAGAAACAUCCUGGAAAAUAUGUCAACUAUAUGUACUUUUAAUUAUCAUGUUUGUACUUCAUUUUGGAUAGUUAGCUAAACUGCGUCCUUAAGCGAACUACCCUCAUUAUAAUACUAAAACUCACACCCACUGGGCAGGAGACCCCGGCCCAGGCGGAGACCCUUACUCAUAGAGCAUGCGUAAUGAGAACAGAGAUUGUGUAACCAUAUGCAAAUUACUAACCAAUCAGUAUUAGAGGGAAGUCUGUGGGAACCUAGCGAGUGAAAAUAAUGUAUAUAAAAGGAACUCUGGAGAAUACCGAGGUGUGCUAGUUAGUGGGAAAGCACCGAGCACCCAAACUUGCACAACUUUGUAAUAAACAAUAUCUGGUCUCCGUGUGUGAGAUUGGCUCACCGCACACCGGGUACCGAAACCCACUUUUGGGACAACAGUCUUGCUUUCCUGUAGUUUUUUAAGCCACCAUCCUACAUGCACACGAGUGGAGCAAAACUCGAGCUGUUUGGGAACAUCACCCACUCAGCAGCAAGCCUGAGCUCUCUGGCCACUUUCCUUCUGUACCCGGAGCGCUAUCGGUCAGACACAAGCACGCUGCUGGGAUCCCGGGAACUUACCCGAUGUUUUAUAGCUGGAGGAUAUCUGCCAGCGAUGACCGCUAGUUCCUCAUGGGUGUAGUGCCAACCUUCCUCUUCUUGAGAAAUAAACCCCAGGAUGCUCUGGUUGAUGGUGCAUGCACAGAGGGGGUGAGUGUCAACUCCAUCCUAACAGAGUUAAAACCUGCAUGGCCUGCUGAUAUCCCCAUUUUGUUGCUAAACGAAUGGAGCAAACCUUAUCAAAAUGAGCAGACUGCAGUCCCGCUAACGUAGCUCCGCUUGCGCUAGAGAUAAUUGAAGCUUUAAUAAAGGUGCGCAUUAUCCAGAUUGUGGCUGGAGUGCUUAUGUGAGGAGAAGCAUCAAUCGCAGGUCACUGUAUUUAACUUUUAUCAAAUAUUUAGGUGGGUGGCAAAGUGCGUUCCUGUGCUGCUCUUGGGGAAAGAGUGUUGGGCUCCAAGAUACAGAAUGAAUCAUCAGAUCCCUUUUGCCUACAUCAGUUUCCUGCAGAUUGGGAGAGUGAGGAUUUAAAUUUUAGUUACCUCACCUGGAGAUGGGAGAUACCACGUGCUGUGGUCUUAGAAACAGAGGCUUGAUGACCAAGAACUGCAGUUCCCAAGUGGAAGGCCUUCGAUCUCAUCUGCUGGUGAAGAGACGGAUCUCUGCUGGGUGUGCUGCUCUGCCCAGGUUAGCAGGUCGCAAAGACCGGAGCAGCACGCUCAGGACUGGCCCAGGACCUGCGUUGCCAUCACAGCGGCCUUUCCCAUCCAGGUCCCCCCGAGACCUGAGCACCCCGUUCCCGCUCCGCGGGGCUGGCUGCCUGCUGGGACAGAGCCCAGCCUUGGAAAGGGUGGAAGAAACAGCGGCAAUUGCUCUCCCCAUCUCUGCUUUUGGGGUGAUGGGGAAAAGCAGAGCCUUGCUGAAGAUUAGCACGCUAGCUGCAGUAGUCGUUACUGCGACGAUGCCAGUCCCAGGCUCAACUCAAUGGGGGAAGAGGGAGGAAAAGAGGGGACCCCGCCGCGGCGAGGGCACAGUGCGACGGAGAAAGCGAGGGCUGCGUGGAACGGGGCUGCGGUCAGGGUCCUGCGGGCAGAUGUGACCCAGAGCUGCCCGGGGGCUUUCCCUGCUCCCCCUGCCCUGGAGGGGGCCAGAGCCGGGCCACCGAAUGGGCGCUGGUGGCCACUAGAGGACGGUGCAGACCGGGCCAGGCGGCUCCGGCACGGAUGGCACUUGCCGGCUGCGUAGCGAAGGCAGCGCGGAGCCCGUUUGCUACGAGAUUCCACCGAAGCCUCCGCUUCCUCCGGCUUCCCCUGGGAAUACGUGUGCCCAGCCGGGCUGGAGCAUCACCGCCGGCCUGUAACCAGGGAGGAGAGUAAAUCCCCCA